GACGAACGCUGGCGGCGUGCUUAACACAUGCAAGUCGAACGGAAAGGCCCUGCUUGCAGGGUACUCGAGUGGCGAACGGGUGAGUAACACGUGGGUGAUCUGCCCUGCACUUCGGGAUAAGCCUGGGAAACUGGGUCUAAUACCGGAUAGGAGCCAUUUUUAGUGUGAUGGUUGGAAAGUUUUUUCGGUGUAGGAUGAGCUCGCGGCCUAUCAGCUUGUUGGUGGGGUAAUGGCCUACCAAGGCGGCGACGGGUAGCCGGCCUGAGAGGGUGGACGGCCACAUUGGGACUGAGAUACGGCCCAGACUCCUACGGGAGGCAGCAGUGGGGAAUAUUGCACAAGGGGCGCAAGCCUGAUGCAGCGACGCCGCGUGGGGGAUGACGGCCUUCGGGUUGUAAACUCCUUCCGCUAGGGACGAAGCUUUUUGUGACGGUACCUAGAUAAGAAGCACCGGCUAACUACGUG
rnacentral:rRNA from 1 species